CUAGGAUGAACGCUAGCUACAGGCUUAACACAUGCAAGUCGAGGGGCAGCAUUGGAGUAGCAAUACUCAGAUGGCGACCGGCGCACGGGUGAGUAACACGUAUCCAACCUGCCGCUUACUCGGGGAUAGCCUUUCGAAAGAAAGAUUAAUACCCGAUGGUAUAAAGAGUUCGCAUGUUCUCUUUAUUAAAGAAUUUCGGUAAGCGAUGGGGAUGCGUUCCAUUAGAUAGUUGGCGGGUAACGGCCCACCAAGUCUACGAUGGAUAGGGGUUCUGAGAGGAAGGUCCCCCACAUUGGAACUGAGACACGGUCCAAACUCCUACGGGAGGCAGCAGUGAGGAAUAUUGGUCAAUGGACGAGAGUCUGAACCAGCCAAAAGUAGCGUGAAGGAUGACUGCCCUAUGGGUUGUAAACUUCUUUUAUAAGGGAAUAAAGUGAGGGACGUGUCCCUUUUUGUAUGUACCUUAUGAAUAAGGAUCGGCUAACUCCGUGCCAGCCGCCGC
rnacentral:rRNA from 1 species